rnacentral:misc_RNA from 1 species
GAGAGAGAGAGAGAGAGAGUCUCUAAAUCUCAUCUUUGCAAACUUUAUUCUUUAAUAUGCAUUAGAUGCUACAAUUGUAUGCUUCACAACAUCAUUGCUUGCUCUAUGCCUUGGACAUUUUGCAACUCUUGUACAAUUUCAUGCUUAAAAAAUAUAUAAAAAAAAAUUCCUGCUCUUUUCUUGUUCAUUCCCAAAUCACAAGACAGUUUUGCUUCUCUUGUAUAAUACCACUGUGUUCUGGGGUUGCUACCCUUAUUUCACUACUUUAUAGAAGAAGUUGUUAAAAAUUCUAUUGCUUGGUGAAUCAUGAGAUUUGCCUAAAUUCUAUUGCUUCUACACCAAAAA